UACGUAGGGCGCAAGCGUUGUCCGGAAUUAUUGGGCGUAAAGAGCUCGUAGGCGGCUUGUUGCGUCGGUUGUGAAAGCCCGGGGCUUAACCCCGGGUCUGCAUUCGGAUACGGGCCUGCUAGGGUCCGGCAGGGGAGACUGGAAUUCCUGGUGUAGCGGUGAAAUGCGCAGAUAUCAGGAGGAACACCGGUGCGAAGGCGGGUCUCUGGGCCGGUGACCGACGCUGGAGGAGCGAAAGCGUGGGGAGCGAACAGG
rnacentral:rRNA from 1 species